rnacentral:rRNA from 1 species
GUAACGCGUAUCCAACCUUCCCGUUACUCAGGGAUAGCCUUCCGAAAGGGAGAUUAAUACCUGAUGGUGUUGAAAUUCCGCAUGUUAUUUCAACUAAAGAUUUAUCGGUAACGGAUGGGGAUGCGUGACAUUAGAUAGUAGGCGGGGGUAACGGCCCACCUAGUCUACGAUGUCUAGGGGUUCUGAGAGGAAGGUCCCCCACACUGGAACUGAGACACGGUCCAGACUCCUACGGGAGGCAGCAGUGAGGAAUAUUGGUCAAUGGGUCGGAAGACCUGAACCAGCCAAGUAGCGUGAAGGAUGAAGGUUCUAUGGAUUGUAAACUUCUUUUAUACGGGAAUAAAACCUCCUACGUGUAGGAGUUUGUAUGUACCGUAUGAAUAAGCAUCGGCUAACUCCGUG